rnacentral:rRNA from 1 species
UACGGGGGGGGGGCAAGCGUUGUUCGGAAUUACUGGGCGAAAGGGCUCGUAGGCGCCAACUAAGUCAGACGUGAAAUCCCCUCGGCUUAACCGGGGGAACUGCGUCUGAUACUGGUUGGCUUGAGUGUGGGAGAGGGAUGCGGAAUUCCAGGUGUAGCGGUGAAAUGCGUAGAUAUCUGGAGGAACACCGGUGGCGAAGGCGGCAUCCUGGACCUUACUGACGCUGAGGGAGCGAAAAGCCAGGGGGAGCAAACGG